GGAAUUUUGCGCAAUGGGGGAAACCCUGACGCAGCAACGCCGCGUGCGGGACGAAGGCCUUCGGGUUGUAAACCGCUUUCAGCAGGGAAUAUAGUGAAGGUACCUGUUCAGAAAGCUCCGGCUAACUACGUGCCAGCAGCCGCGGUAAUACGUAGGGAGCGAGCGUUGUCCGGAAUUACUGGGUGUAAAGGGAGUGUAGGCGGGACGGCAAGUCAGAUGUGAAAUUUAGGGGCUCAACCCCUGACCUGCAUUUGAAACUGCUGUUCUUGAGUGAAGUAGAGGUAAGCGGAAUUCCUAGUGUAGCGGUGAAAUGCGUAGAUAUUAGGAGGAACAUCAGUGGCGAAGGCGGCUUACUGGGCUUUAACUGACGCUGAGGCUCGAAAGCGUGGGGAGCAAACAGGAUUAGAUACCCUGGUAGUCCACGCCGUAAACGAUGAUUACUAGGUGUGGGGGGACUGACCCCUUCCGUGCCGCAGUUAACACAAUAAGUAAUCCACCUGGGGAGUACGGUCGCAAGACUGAAACUCAAAGGAAUUGACGGGGGCCCGCACAAGCAGUGGAGUAUGUGGAUUAAUUCGAAGCAACGCGAAGAACCUUACCAGGUCUUGACAUCGAUCGAAUCCGAAAGAGAUUUUGGAGUGCCCUUCGGGGAACGUGAAGACAGGUGGUGCAUGGUUGUCGUCAGCUCGUGUCGUGAGAUGUUGGGUUAAGUCCCGCAACGAGCGCAACCCUUAUGUUUAGUUGCUACGCAAGAGCACUCUAGACAGACUGCCGUUGACAAAACGGAGGAAGGUGGGGAUGACGUCAAAUCAUCAUGCCCCUUAUGACCUGGGCCUCACACGUACUACAAUGGCUGUAAACAGAGGGAAGCUAAGCAGUGAUGUGGAGCAAAUCCCCAAAAGCAGUCUUAGUUCGGAUUGUAGGCUGCAACCCGCCUACAUGAAGUCGGAAUUGCUAGUAAUCGCGGAUCAGCAUGCCGCGGUGAAUACGUUCCC
rnacentral:rRNA from 1 species